GUCUUUUUGAUUUAUAUAUAAAGUCUGACCUGCCCACUGAAAAUUUUAAAUGGCUGCAGUAAUUUGACUGUACAAAGGUAGCAUAAUCAUUAGUUUUUUAAUUAAAAGCUCGUAUGAAAGGUUGGACGAAGUAAAAUCUGUCUCUUUUUAAUAUAAUUAGAAUUUAAUUUUUAAGUAAAAAAGCUUAAAUUUUUAUAAAAGACGAGAAGACCCUAUAGAGUUUAAUAAUUUUAAUAAAAUAUUUAAUUAAGAUUUAUUAAUUUUAUUUAAUUAAAAUUAUUUUAUUGGGGUAAUAAAAAGAUUAAAAAAAUUCUUUUUUUUUAAUACAUUAAUUUAUGAAUAUAUGAUCCAUUUGUAGUGAUUAAAAGAUUAAAUUACCUUAGGGAUAACAGCGUAAUUUUUUUAAAGAGUUCUUAUCGAUAAAAAAGUUUGCGACCUCGAUGUUGGAUUAAAGAUUAAUUUAGGUGUAGAAGUUUAAAUUUUUGGUCUGUUCGACCAUUAAAUCUUUACAUGAUCUGAGUUCAAACCGGUGUAAGCCAGGUUGGUUUCUAUCUUUAUUAAUUUUUUAUAUUUUAGUACGAAAGGACCAAAUAUAAAAUAUAUAAAUAUUUUUAUUUUGAAUAUUAUUAAAUUAGUUAUUUUGGCAGAUUAGUGUAAUGAAUUUAGAAUUCAUUUAUGUAAAUAUUUUACAAAUAAUACUUGUUUAUAAAAGAUAUAAUUAUUUCUUUUAUUUUAAUUAUUUUAUUAAUUAUUUGUGUUUUAGUAGGUGUAGCUUUUUUAACUUUAUUAGAA
rnacentral:rRNA from 1 species